CGAAAGCCUGACGGAGCAACGCCGCGUGAGGGAUGAAGGCCUCUGGGCUGUAAACCUCUUUUCUCAAGGAAGAAGAUCUGACGGUACUUGAGGAAUAAGCCACGGCUAAUUCCGUGCCAGCAGCCGCGGUAAUACGGGAGUGGCAAGCGUUAUCCGGAAUUAUUGGGCGUAAAGCGUCCGCAGGCGGCCCUGUAAGUCUGUCGUUAAAGCGUGGAGCUUAACUCCAUUUAAGCGAUGGAAACUACAGGGCUUGAGUGUGGUAGGGGCAGAGGGAAUUCCCGGUGUAGCGGUGAAAUGCGUAGAUAUCGGGAAGAACACCAGUGGCGAAGGCGCUCUGCUGGGCCAUAACUGACGCUCAUGGACGAAAGCCAGGGGAGCG
rnacentral:rRNA from 1 species